CUUACUGCUGCACAUUUCUUCCUCUAGAUAUACUAUUUGUAUGUUAUAUUUUUAAAUAUUAUAUUAUUUUUGGUUGGAUGUGAUUAGACUUCUGUAUUUCUUUCUCAAUCCUUACAAGUUUUAAAUUUUAAUCUCCAAAACUUGAGAUUUGUUGAGGAGAUCUUAUGCAUGUGCAACUUUGAUUGUAUAGACUUAGUGGCUAGCCUUCAGCUUUGAUACAGAGGAGGCAAACGCUCUCCAAGUCUAUAUAUGACAUUUUGUACUCAUUAUUAUUAUUUUUAUACAAAAUACUCUUUAUAGGUCUUUGUCCUUUAUAGGUACAGAUAUUCUGGUUUUCUAUUCGAAAUUAUACUCCUCAUUUAGACGGCAAAAGUAAAUAGUUUGAUGGCAGGUUACAAGAUUAAUUUUGUACUAUUACUUUUUCAUCUGAUGACAUAUAUUCUUCGAUGAUGAAGGGUAAUUACACACUUUACAUUGACAUCUUUCAAUGACUAUAUUAUGACAAGCUAUCUGCGGUAUUUUGCCCAAGGAAUCAACAGGUAUAUUAUGUUAGAAGCAUUAUGUCUCUUAUUGGAUUGUUU